rnacentral:rRNA from 1 species
UAGAAGCAGCCACCAUUUAAAGAGUGCGUAAUAGCUCACUAGUCGAGUGACCCUGCGCCGAAAAUGUACCGGGGCUAAACAUAUUACCGAAGCUGUGGAGUACACCUUUAGGUGUAUUGGUAGGAGAGCGUUCUAAGGGCGUCGAAGGCAGAUCGUGAGGACUGCUGGAGCGCUUAGAAGUGAGAAUGCCGGUAUGAGUAGCGAAAGACAGGUGAGAAUCCUGUCCACCGAAUGACUAAGGUUUCCUGGGGAAGGCUCGUCCGCCCAGGGUUAGUCGGGACCUAAGCCGAGGCCGAUAGGCGUAGGCGAUGGAUAACAGGUUGAUAUUCCUGUACCCGUUGUUUUUGUUUGAGCAAUGGAGGGACGCAGGAGGCUAAGGAAUGCAGACGAUCGGAAAUGUCUGUCCAAGCAGUAAGUCUGAAGAGGAGUCAAAUGCUUCUUUUCUUAAGGACAAGCUGUGAUGGGGAGGGAAAUAAUAGUACCGAAGUUCCUGAUGUCACACUGCCGAGAAAAGCUUCUAGUGAGAAAACAGCGGCCCGUACCGCAAACCGACACAGGUAGUCGAGGAGAGAAUCCUAAGGUGAGCGAGAGAACUCUCGUUAAGGAACUCGGCAAAAUGACCCCGUAACUUCGGGAGAAGGGGUGCUGAUCAUACGAUCAGCCGCAGUGAAUAGGCCCAAGCGACUGUUUAUCAAAAACACAGGUCUCUGCAAAAUCGUAAGAUGAAGAACGGUCCUAAGGUAGCGAAAUUCCUUGUCGGGUAAGUUCCGACCCGCACGAAAGGCGUAACGAUUUGGGCACUGUCUCAACGAGAGACUCGGUGAAAUCAUAGUACCUGUGAAGAUGCAGGUUACCCGCGACAGGACGGAAAGACCCCGUGGAGCUUUACUGUAGCCUGAUAUUGAAAUUCGGCACAGCUUGUACAGGAUAGGUAGGAGCCUUUGAAACGUGAGCGCUAGCUUACGUGGAGGCGUUGGUGGGAUACUACCCUAGCUGUGUUGGCUUUCUAACCCGCACCACUUAUCGUGGUGGGAGACAGUGUCAGGCGGGCAGUUUGACUGGGGCGGUCGCCUCCUAAAAGGUAACGGAGGCGCUCAAAGGUUCCCUCAGAAUGGUUGGAAAUCAUUCAUAGAGUGUAAAGGCAUAAGGGAGCUUGACUGCGAGACCUACAAGUCGAGCAGGGUCGAAAGACGGACUUAGUGAUCCGGUGGUUCCGCAUGGAAGGGCCAUCGCUCAACGGAUAAAAGCUACCCCGGGGAUAACAGGCUUAUCUCCCCCAAGAGUUCACAUCGACGGGGAGGUUUGGCACCUCGAUGUCGGCUCAUCGCAUCCUGGGGCUGUAGUCGGUCCCAAGGGUUGGGCUGUUCGCCCAUUAAAGCGGUACGCGAGCUGGGUUCAGAACGUCGUGAGACAGUUCGGUCCCUAUCCGUCGUGGGCGUAGGAAAUUUGAGAGGAGCUGUCCUUAGUACGAGAGGACCGGGAUGGACUGACCUAUGGUGUACCAGUUGUUUCGCCAGAAGCAUAGCUGGGUA